AGAGUUUGAUCAUGGCUCAGGACGAACGCUGGCGGCGUGCUUAACACAUGCAAGUCGAGCGGGGCGUAGCAAUACGCCUAGCGGCGGACGGGUGAGUAACACGUGAGUAACCUGCCCUAUGGAGGGGGAUAACACAAAGAAAUUUGUGCUAAUACCGCAUAACACUGAUGCUCCGCAUGAAGUAUCAGUCAAAGAUUUAUCGCCAUAGGAUGGACUCGCGGCGCAUUAGCUAGUUGGUGAGGUAACGGCUCACCAAGGCGACGAUGCGUAGCCGACCUGAGAGGGUGAUCGGCCACAUUGGAACUGAGACACGGUCCAGACUCCUACGGGAGGCAGCAGUGGGGAAUAUUGCACAAUGGGCGAAAGCCUGAUGCAGCAACGCCGCGUGAGCGAUGAAGGCCUUCGGGUUGUAAAGCUCUGUCUUUGGGGACGAAACAAUGACGGUACCCAAGGAGGAAGCCACGGCUAACUACGUGCCAGCAGCCGCGGUAAUACGUAGGUGGCAAGCGUUGUCCGGAAUUACUGGGCGUAAAGAAUGCGUAGGCGGUCUUUUAAGUGGGAUGUGAAAUCCCUGGGCUCAACCCAGGAACUGCAUUCCAAACUGGAAGACUAGAGUGCGGGAGAGGAAAUUGGUAUUCCCAGUGUAGCGGUGAAAUGCGUAGAGAUUGGGAGGAACACCAGUAGCGAAGGCGAAUUUCUGGAACGUAACUGACGCUGAGGCAUGAAAGCGUGGGGAGCAAACAGGAUUAGAUACCCUGGUAGUCCACGCUGUAAACUAUGAGUACUAGGUGUAGGGGGCGAAGCCCUCUGUGCCGCAGUUAACACAAUAAGUACUCCGCCUGGGAAGUACGAUCGCAAGAUUAAAACUCAAAGGAAUUGACGG
rnacentral:rRNA from 1 species